GCCGAGGUAGCUCAGUUGGUAGAGCAUGCGACUGAAAAUCGUAGGGUCGACAGUUCAAGUCUGUCUCUCGGCA
rnacentral:tRNA from 1 species